AUUGAACGCUAGCGGCAGGCUUAACACAUGCAAGUCGAGCGGGGUGAUGGUGCUUGCACUAUCACUUAGCGGCGGACGGGUGAGUAAUGCUUAGGAAUCUGCCUAUUAGUGGGGGACAACAACUCGAAAGGGAUGCUAAUACCGCAUACGUCCGACGGGAGAAAGCAGGGGAUCGCUCGUGACCCUCAGCCUAGACAUGCGCCCAAGUCGGAUUGGUUAGUUGGUGGGGGAAAGGCUGACCAAGGCGACGACCUGUAGCGGGUCUGAGGGGAUGGUCCGCCACACUGGGACUGAGACACGGCCCAGACUCCUACGGGAGGCAGCAGUGGGGAAUAUUGGACAAUGGGGGGAACCCUGAUCCAGCCACGCCGCGUGUGUGAAGAAGGCCUUAUGGUUGUAAAGCACUUUAAGCGAGGAGGAGGCUCUUUUGGUUAAUACCCAAGAUGAGUGGACGUUACUCGCAGAAUAAGCACCGGCUAACUCUGUGCCAGCAGCCGCAGUAA
rnacentral:rRNA from 1 species